GNGAAGACACGCUUCGACUAGUCAUAGUGCAGGGUUCCUAGAUUCAUAAGAACUGGGGGGGAAAGUCAAAUGCAUUCAAGGGGAACGAUAAUGAUUGUACCGGUGUUAAGAAGCUGCGGCUAACUACCUGCCAGCAGCCGCGGUAAUACGUAGGCAGCAAGCGUUGUUCGGAAUUACUGGGCGUAAAGAGUUCGUAGGCGGUGCGGAAAGUUUGGUGUGAAAUCUCCCGGCUCAACUGGGAGGGUGCGCCGAAUACUGCCGUGCUAGAGUAUAGGACAGGUAACCGGAAUUCCUGGUGUAGCGGUGAAAUGCGUAGAUAUCAGGAGGAACACCUGUGGUGUAGACGGCUUACUGGCCCAUAACUGACGCUGAGGAACGAAAGCGUGGGUACCAAACAGGAUUACAUACCCUGGUAGUCCACGCCCCAAACGAUGCAUACUUGGUGUGAGCCACUCACUCGGUUCGUGCCGUAACUAACCCGUUAAGUAUGCCGCCUGGGCAUUACGGCGCCAAGUAUAAACUCAAA
rnacentral:rRNA from 1 species